rnacentral:rRNA from 1 species
AUUUUUAUGGAGAGUUUGAUCCUGGCUCAGGAUGAACGCUGGCGGCGUGCCUAAUACAUGCAAGUCGAGCGAACGGACGAGAAGCUUGCUUCUCUGAUGUUAGCGGCGGACGGGUGAGUAACACGUGGAUAACCUACCUAUAAGACUGGGAUAACUUCGGGAAACCGGAGCUAAUACCGGAUAAUAUUUUGAACCGCAUGGUUCAAAAGUGAAAGACGGUCUUGCUGUCACUUAUAGAUGGAUCCGCGCUGCAUUAGCUAGUUGGUAAGGUAACGGCUUACCAAGGCAACGAUGCAUAGCCGACCUGAGAGGGUGAUCGGCCACACUGGAACUGAGACACGGUCCAGACUCCUACGGGAGGCAGCAGUAGGGAAUCUUCCGCAAUGGGCGAAAGCCUGACGGAGCAACGCCGCGUGAGUGAUGAAGGUCUUCGGAUCGUAAAACUCUGUUAUUAGGGAAGAAUAUAUGUGUAAGUAACUGUGCACAUCUUGACGGUACCUAAUCAGAAAGCCACGGCUAACUACGUGCCAGCAGCCGCGGUAAUACGUAGGUGGCAAGCGUUAUCCGGAAUUAUUGGGCGUAAAGCGCGCGUAGGCGGUUUUUUAAGUCUGAUGUGAAAGCCCACGGCUCAACCGUGGAGGGUCAUUGGAAACUGGAAAACUUGAGUGCAGAAGAGGAAAGUGGAAUUCCAUGUGUAGCGGUGAAAUGCGCAGAGAUAUGGAGGAACACCAGUGGCGAAGGCGGCUUUCUGGUCUGUAACUGACGCUGAUGUGCGAAAGCGUGGGGAUCAAACAGGAUUAGAUACCCUGGUAGUCCACGCCGUAAACGAUGAGUGCUAAGUGUUAGGGGGUUUCCGCCCCUUAGUGCUGCAGCUAACGCAUUAAGCACUCCGCCUGGGGAGUACGACCGCAAGGUUGAAACUCAAAGGAAUUGACGGGGACCCGCACAAGCGGUGGAGCAUGUGGUUUAAUUCGAAGCAACGCGAAGAACCUUACCAAAUCUUGACAUCCUUUGACAACUCUAGAGAUAGAGCCUUCCCCUUCGGGGGACAAAGUGACAGGUGGUGCAUGGUUGUCGUCAGCUCGUGUCGUGAGAUGUUGGGUUAAGUCCCGCAACGAGCGCAACCCUUAAGCUUAGUUGCCAUCAUUAAGUUGGGCACUCUAAGUUGACUGCCGGUGACAAACCGGAGGAAGGUGGGGAUGACGUCAAAUCAUCAUGCCCCUUAUGAUUUGGGCUACACACGUGCUACAAUGGACAAUACAAAGGGCAGUGAAACCGCGAGGUCAAGCAAAUCCCAUAAAGUUGUUCUCAGUUCGGAUUGUAGUCUGCAACUCGACUACAUGAAGCUGGAAUCGCUAGUAAUCGUAGAUCAGCAUGCUACGGUGAAUACGUUCCCGGGUCUUGUACACACCGCCCGUCACACCACGAGAGUUUGUAACACCCGAAGCCGGUGGAGUAACCUUUUAGGAGCUAGCCGUCGAAGGUGGGACAAAUGAUUGGGGUGAAGUCGUAACAAGGUAGCCGUAUCGGAAGGUGCGGCUGGAUCACCUCCUUU